rnacentral:rRNA from 1 species
ACAUGCGAGUCGAGCGGCAGCACGGGUACUUGUACCUGGUGGCGAGCGGCGGACGGGUGAGUAAUGCCUAGGAAUCUGCCUGGUAGUGGGGGAUAACGCUCGGAAACGGACGCUAAUACCGCAUACGUCCUACGGGAGAAAGCAGGGGACCUUCGGGCCUUGCGCUAUCAGAUGAGCCUANGUCGGAUUAGCUAGUUGGUGAGGUAAUGGCUCACCAAGGCGACGAUCCGUAACUGGUCUGAGAGGAUGAUCAGUCACACUGGAACUGAGACACGGUCCAGACUCCUACGGGAGGCAGCAGUGGGGAAUAUUGGACAAUGGGCGAAAGCCUGAUCCAGCCAUGCCGCGUGUGUGAAGAAGGUCUUCGGAUUGUAAAGCACUUUAAGUUGGGAGGAAGGGCAGUUACCUAAUACGUGAUUGUUUUGACGUUACCGACAGAAUAAGCACCGGCUAACUCUGUGCCAGCAGCCGCGGUAAUACAGAGGGUGCAAGCGUUAAUCGGAAUUACUGGGCGUAAAGCGCGCGUAGGUGGUUUGUUAAG